rnacentral:rRNA from 1 species
AGUGCUUCGGCACUUAGUGGCGGACGGGUGAGUAACGCGUGAGAAUCUGCCAAAAGGACUGGGACAACAGCUGGAAACGGCUGCUAAUACCGGAUAUGCCAGAAAGUGAAAUGGGUAAAACCGCCUUUUGAUGAGCUCGCGUCCGAUUAGCUAGUUGGUGGGGUAAAAGCCUACCAAGGCGACGAUCGGUAACUGGUCUGAGAGGAUGACCAGUCACACUGGGACUGAGACACGGCCCAGACUCCUACGGGAGGCAGCAGUGGGGAAUUUUCCGCAAUGGGCGAAAGCCUGACGGAGCAAUACCGCGUGAGGGAGGAAGGCUCUUGGGUUGUAAACCUCUUUUCUCAGGGAAGAACACAAUGACGGUACCUGAGGAAUCAGCAUCGGCUAACUCCGUGCCAGCAGCCGCGGUAAUACGGAGGAUGCAAGCGUUAUCCGGAAUGAUUGGGCGUAAAGCGUCCGCAGGUGGCUUUGCAAGUCUGCUGUCAAAGCUCAGGGCUUAACCCUGAAUCGGCGGUGGAAACUGAAAGGCUAGAGUGUGGUAGGGGCAGAGGGAAUUCCCAGUGUAGCGGUGAAAUGCGUAGAGAUUGGGAAGAACACCGGUGGCGAAAGCGCUCUGCUAGACCGCAACUGACACUCAUGGACGA